CGACGGAAGAGCUCCCCGGAGCCCGGGUGGUGGCCGCAAAGGGAGUCCGAGCCCGCCCCUCUUGUAUUGCCCGCCCCGAGCUGAGCCUUGCUGGUCCUCUCCCCUUCCCUACCCCAUCUCCUGUUCGCUCCCUCCAACUUCCUGCGUUUGCUGGCUACCUUCCUAGCUCUGGACCUUGGCUCGCUCUUCCAAAUUCCAGCAGUUUCUCUCCCAUUUGUUUGGUGUCACGGCGGACAGAUAAUUGGUGAGGCAGUCCAUCUCCCCAACACCCCGCCCUCAGAGCUGUCCGCCCACGUGGCCCAGGUACAGCAAGGAGACCUAUGCCCACGUGACACGGGUGAGCCUUUGAGUCCUUUUGGCACAAAGGUGAGUAUCAGGCGGAGCCCCACCGCAUGCCACCCUGAGACUUUCCCUGAAUUACCCUGCCAUACCCGCAUACCAGCGGGACAACGAUUUCCUAUUUUUCUUCAAAUCAACUCCCUUUUCAGCCUUUGACACAUGUAUUUAAAAGGGGAUCUUUGUUUUAUUGCCGCAAGUAGAUAAGGAAUCACCCUCGCCAUUAAUAGAAGGAACCACAAGAGAGAAAAUGGGGGGGAAAAGGUAAGUCUCACUAAGUUCUUUUCUUUUGUCUUUAGAGGUAUGAAGUCUGCCCCAGACUCGAUGCUUUGCUGCCAGAUAGAAAGACGUUAAGGGCAAAGUAGCAUCACUUCCAGUCUUGACGCUCUCCGAAAGCCUGAUGGCCCGACUGCUUUCUACAUCUGCUUUCCUGCAUUUCCUCCGACGCAUGGAGAAAAACGUGUCUAAUGCACGAGCCUACUGGAACCCAGGCAAGAAAUGCAAACGAAUGCGGUGGUCCAUGACAGGGGUGCUGGGGACCCAGGCAAACUGGAGGGCCCGGGCCCUGUCCAAAGAAACGUGGUGCCCAUUCAGCUCCUGCCCGCCGCUCCCCCCAUAGAAACCUGAGCUCCGAACUGCUGGAGCCACCCAUUUCUCUAGAGAUUCUGGAAAUCUGAACUUUUCUGUAAAAUCUCCAUUUUUUUUUUUGGCCAAAAUAUUAAAACAAAAUGAAACAAUCUUCUAUAAGAGUGCAUACAAACAUGUAGACAUGUCACUUUUAAAGGUGACAGCCCAAACUGGAAAUAACCCUCCGGUCCUUGAGCAGGUGAAUGGAUAAGCCACUUCAGGUGUGUGGAUAUGACAUAUACUAGUGGUUUAUACGUACAAUACUAUACUCACACAACACGUACUGCUCAUCAAUGAGUAAACCAGGACUCUUGAUUCCGCUGAGUGAAAGAAACCAAAUGGAAGAACCCAGUGCACACGAGUAUGUCUCCCUUCACAAAAGAGUCUAGACAACGUAAACGCCUCUAUAGGGACAGAAAGCAGUCGGUGGUUGUGGCGGGCUGCAGGGGUGGGGGGUGGAGAAAGAGAUGAGAAAGAGCCACAAGGAAACCUUUGAUCUGUUCACUACCUUGAUUGAAGGUACCUCAUGACAUGUAUUUGUCAGAACUUCUCUAAUUGGGGCGCCUGGGUGGCUCAAUGAGUUAAAGCCUCUGUCUUUGGCUCAGGUCAUAAUUCCAGGGUCCUGAGAUCGAGCCCCAUGUCAGGCUCUCUGCUCGGCGGGGAGCCUACUUCCCCCUCUCUCUCUGCCUGCCUCUCUGCCUACUUGUGAUCUCUGUCAAGCAAAUAAAUAAAAUCUUAAAAAAAAAAAAUCUCAAAUUGUACACUUGGAAAACAGGCACCUAAUGACAUGUCAAGG
ensembl:lincRNA